rnacentral:rRNA from 1 species
AGAGUUUGAUCAUGGCUCAGGAUGAACGCUGGCGGCGUGCCUAACACAUGCAAGUCGAGCGGUAAAUACUGAAACGAAUCUUCGGAAGAGGGAAGGUAUUGAGAGCGGCGGACGGGUGAGUAACGCGUAGGCAACCUGCCCCAUACACAGGGAUAGCCUCGGGAAACCGGGAUUAAAACCUGAUAACGCGAGUGAUUCACAUGGAUUACUCGCCAAAGAUUUAUCGGUAUGGGAUGGGCCUGCGUCUGAUUAGCUAGUUGGUGGGGUAACGGCCUACCAAGGCGACGAUCAGUAGCCGACCUGAGAGGGUAAUCGUCCACAUUGGAACUGAGACACGGUCCAAACUCCUACGGGAGGCAGCAGUGGGGAAUAUUGCACAAUGGGCGAAAGCCUGAUGCAGCAACGCCGCGUGAGCGAUGAAGGCCUUUGGGUCGUAAAGCUCUGUCCUUGGGGAAGAAAAAAAUGACGGUACCCUUGGAGGAAGCCCCGGCUAACUACGUGCCAGCAGCCGCGGUAAUACGUAGGGGGCAAGCGUUAUCCGGAAUUAUUGGGCGUAAAGGGUGCGUAGGUGGUUUUGUAAGCGCGAGGUGAAAGGCAAUAGCUUAACUAUUGUAAGCCUUGCGAACUGUAAGACUUGAGUGCAGGAGAGGAAAGCGGAAUUCCUAGUGUAGCGGUGAAAUGCGUAGAUAUUAGGAGGAACACCAGUGGCGAAGGCGGCUUUCUGGACUGUAACUGACACUGAGGCACGAAAGCGUGGGGAGCAAACAGGAUUAGAUACCCUGGUAGUCCACGCCGUAAACGAUGAGCACUAGGUGUCGGGGCCGCAAGGUCUCGGUGCCGCAGUUAACGCAUUAAGUGCUCCGCCUGGGGAGUACGCACGCAAGUGUGAAACUCAAAGGAAUUGACGG